rnacentral:rRNA from 1 species
CCCGCAACGAGCGCAACCCCUGCUAUCUGUGCCAGCAAGUGAUGUUGGGACUCAGAUGGAACUGCCGGUGACAAACCGGAGGAAGGUGGGGACGACGUCGAAGUCAUCAUGGCCCUUAUGUCCUGGGCUACACACGUGCUACAAUGGCCGGUACAGAGCGCAGCGAAGCCGCGAGGUGAAGCAAAACGCAGAAAGACCGGUCUCAGUACGGAUUGGAGUCUGAAACUCGACUUCAUGAAGUUGGAAUCGCUAGUAAUCGCGCAUCAGCAUGGCGCGGUGAAUACGUUCCCGGGCCUU